rnacentral:rRNA from 1 species
GAUGAACGCUGACAGAAUGCUUAACACAUGCCAGUCAACUUGAAUUUGGGUUUUUAACUUAGGUUUGGGUGGCGGACGGGUGAGUAACGCGUAAAGAACUUGCCUCACAGCUAGGGACAACAUUUGGAAACGAAUGCUAAUACCUAAUAUUAUGAUAAUAGGGCAUCCUAUAAUUAUGAAAGCUAUAAGCGCUGUGAGAGAGCUUUGCGUCCCAUUAGCUAGUUGGAGAGGUAACGGCUCACCAAGGCGAUGAUGGGUAGUCGGCCUGAGAGGGUGAUCGGCCACAAGGGGACUGAGACACGGCCCUUACUCCUACGGGAGGCAGCAGUGGGGAAUAUUGGACAAUGGACCAAGAGUCUGAUCCAGCAAUUCUGUGUGCACGAUGAAGUUUUUCGGAAUGUAAAGUGCUUUCAGUUGGGAAGAAAGAAAUGACGGUACCAACAGAAGAAGUGACGGCUAAAUACGUG